GCGAUGGCCCUGUUCCGAGAAACCAGACUGAGAAGGAGGCAAACUGAGUCUGUUUAACCCCAGCCCCAUGGUGCCGGCUAGUGGUGUGGGAACAGUCUUUUAGAGAGGAACCAGACACCAGACAAACAAGGCCUCCUCCCUCAUCUCCUCAAGAAUGGGAAAGCGGCAGGACCUGGGAGCCAGAAUAACUGCCAGACUCACAUGGUACCAUCAACUGACACGGUGAACCUGCAGCUCAGGAGGCUGUAUCGCUUGUCAAAGUCAGACUGGAGACAUUGUGCUGGCCCUGCAUCUGGAGUCUGCCCACCUCACCUGGACUUCGGCUUCCUAGGCUGUGAGUACACUCACAGUGCCCCACCAACUCUGUUUUUCGAAGAAAUGCCAUUUUGUGCGAGACCACGGGCUAAAUUCCAAUUCCAGGAAGAAAAUCACAAACUCCACCUAGGCAAACACCCUAUAACUUUCCCUCACCCCUUUAGCAACAGCCAGGCUACAAUGGCAGGACCAAGUACAUACAGGUAACCUAAGAGAUCCUGCAGAGAACUGAUAGCCUAACCAUCCUAUUUGUCAGGUGGUUCUGCCCACGUAUUCAGUUCCUGCAGAUUAAGUCGGAAAUGCAGCUUUUAAAAAUAUUAACUUGCUGACCUGUAUGGAAAAUCUCCAAGCUUUCUGUAACCACAAUAAAAAGCCUGCACCGCCUAGACUUGGGGCUCUCACUCUGACCCUCUGUGACAGGGACAGUGAAACACCUUGCUUGGGACCUUGUAAUAAAAGACCCUGUGUG
rnacentral:lncRNA from 1 species